AAAUAUGGUUCAUGAGCUAUAUUUUUCUUGCUGCCAUGUACUCUCUAAUGAGGUAAAUUACUUCUCCUUAUUCCAGUGGAAAGAUCAAGUUCAAUGUUUAGUACACCAAACAGCCCUAGGGUAUUUAUCGUCUAUUAUGUAUUUUUUCCUUUUGCUCUACAGCUGCAACUUCAUGGAUCUAUGCUGAAGGUACCCAUAGAUCCUGGGGUUCCCAGAGCAACAAUGCAUAAACUAGAAAGAAUCAGCUGGAAGGGAUGGAAUGUACCUUGGUUGUCUGAUCCCUUGUUUUAUUGCUAUUCCCGGUGGUGUUGGUCCACACAGGUGUGACUUCUCUUAUUGCCCAUAUCAGAACUGGAAAGAGGUAAGCUGCCCUGGAAGCCUAAACACCAUGCUACCAGCAGAAGGUAAGGAAGCGGAGUGUCUGUUCAGCAGGUCUGAAGGUGAUUCUAAGCUCUGUGAAGGCAGAGCUUGCUGUACCCACAGUGCCUAGCACCGUUCCACGGGCACCCAAUAAGUGCUGUUGAGUUUCUAAAGGUGGUUUAUUGUUUCAUGGCCAAACUUGUCUCCCUUCUUCAAGGGUCUUGGCUGAGUCUCUACAUAGAAGCUCUAGUGAUCUCUGCAUUACAGCAUUCAGAGUUUUUGCCUGGACAACCAGAGAUGGUGAAGCUCUGCAGGCCUGGCUGGGUUUUGGAGUCAGGACUGGCUUUGGGAGCACAGGGAAGCCUGCAGACAGCAUCAGAGAAGCCAGAGACUAGACCCAAGCUGAUUUGAACAUCAGUCUGAAGGGCUGGGACAGAGGCAAACUCAGGUUUGAAGCACAGAGAUGGAACAAGUAGACUUAGAAGAUAGGGCAGGUGGUCACCUUGGAUAGACUCCAAAGGGCUUGACUGAGACAGGGCUUUUGUGAGGCAAAUGCAUCCUCAUUCAGGAUGCUGAGCCUCUGAGAACAGAGUAGCUUUGGGUAGCAGCUUUUUCUACACACACCUUGAUGCAGAGCCCCAUGUUCCCUACCCCGCCCCCUUUAAGAGCUUGCUUUGUUUCCUGCCUCAGGAAGAGGAACUCUGGAAGUCCUCCUAGAACCCAGAUAAAACUCAGGCUUUCAUCUUCCCAGCAGGGAAGCCAGUUCUAGAAUUAGCUGUGGCUUUGGCAGAGACCAUCAGUACUAUUGCCUCAAUCAUCCAGCUCCCCACGACUUCCCGCAGGCCUGGGAUUGAAGCCAAGACCCAUAGGCCCAGCCCUCUAGAAAGCAGGUUUGUCAUCAUUACCGGCCCUAGGAAUUCACAAGCAGAUCCUCCCAGCUUUUCCUCUUGGUGACUUCUGAGGGCAUCACAGAUGAAGCCUUCGUGCCAGAUGGUCUCACGUUAGGCCCUGUGAAAGGAGCACUCACAGAGCCGUUGCACCUUUAAAGAAUUGCCCAUUUUCGAUACCUGGCAUAUCACUUGAAUAGAAGAAGUUUAACAGAAUUAACAGUCUGUGUCUGGAUGCAAGAUGGUUUUAACCUACAAUAUAUUUAGGGUGCUGCCCGUGCACCCCAGGGCUCCUUGAGGCAAUUAAAACUGUGCCCUUGGCAAUGUGGCUGACUUCAGUGGCUCUUUUGCCAGAGUUACAGCAGUUUCUCAUCAUGUCUGGAAGAGAUUAGAUUUGUGCGGUGUGGAGAGAGGAUGCUUCUGACAUAUGAUAGGUCAUGUUGGUGGAAUUGUGGCAGGACCCAGAGUGCUCCCAGAAACUUCAUUUUCUUCCAAACAAAUGUAAAUGGGGUUCAAUUUACUGGUUAAAUUCAGCAACUAGAAGAAAUUACAUAAACUGUGAAGCCACAAGGAGCAAUUUUACUAAAAGUUAUCUUGGCCUACAUGGAGAAAUUUAGGCCAUGGAAGACUCAGGACCAUUUUAAGCUUUAUGUAGACUCUUUUGGAGGCAUCAUCACUUAGAUCAAACGAAUUAAAAUGCACCCACAUCUUGAAUUAAAUGUAAAAUUUUCCAUAAAAAUGUUGAAGGGAUUUUUAUAUUUUUGCCUUUGAAGUUAUUUGCCUAUACAUGAUUAUUCAAUUUACAAUUGUCUGUGUCUACUCUCCUGAGUAGGCAUAAAUCAAUCAGUGUGCCUACUCAGGAAUUCUUGCAAAACAAGAGAAUCUAAUCUACAAGUGUUCUCACCUGUAAUAAAUUUAUAAAUGAAUAAUAAAUUUAACAAUGACAUUGACAUAGUGUUACAUUUUUCAGGUAGUUAAUUAAAUGGCUAUUAAUUUCAAUUUUGUUAUCUGUAUCUUGGAACCUUUUUUUUUUUUUUCCAUAGGCCCCUGAAAAGCAAUGGACCCUAGCCACUGAGUUUCGUGUGCCUCACAGAUAAAAUAGGUCUCAGGGAAUUUGACUCUUAUGUUUAGCUCAGGAAUAAAAGAUUUAAAGGGUACAGGAUUACUGUUUUCAAAAAGUAGAAGGUCUGUAUGUGAAAGAGGGAUAAGACAAUUCUAUGGCACUCCAUGGGACUGGAGCAGGUGGCUCUCCAGGGCAACAUAACAAAGAGGCUGUCACAGGAGGUGUGUGACCUGGAAGCAUCCCCUGCCAGUGUUUUAUUGAGGCUGGGAGGUUGCAGAGGGCCAAGGAGUAGAGUCAGAAGAUCAGAGUUGAAGUCCUCGUGCUGAUUAUUACUUGUGUGACUUUGAGUAAGUCACUGAAUCUCUUUGUAUUUCCCUUUCCUUAUCUACAAAAUGCAGAUGUGUCCCCAGCUUGACUUAUCACAUAGGGUUGCUAAAGAUCAAAGUGGGAUCAUUUCAAACUGUUAGUCAAGUUAAUAGUUUCUAUACAAACAUUCAGCCCUGUUCAAGUGUUAUAUUGGAGUUAAUUGGAGUGAUAGCUCCAAUUCUAAGGAUACUAAUGGAGCAACUGGUAGUUAUAGGAUGGAAGGAAAUCUUCAAAAUGAGUCAUUUAAAAUUCAUUAGUUCUACUGACAAUAAUCUUCCAGAGCGUAAGUGACUCCUAAUAAACGUAUAAGGAACAAGUAAAAUGUAUUGGAGAGCCCAGUGCUGUCUAUAUUUACUAAGUCAAGGCUCUAUAAAGACCACCUAAUAUUAUGGCCUUUGAGGUGCAGAAAUGAAAGACUAGAAUCAACAGGGUUAGAGCUGAAAGGAAUGUUGGACAGAGUCCCAACUCUUAUUUUAAACACAGGAAAAGAACAUGUAAAGUAGUUGAGUGACUCACAAAAUGAUUUCUAUUUAUUUAUAUUCUGCCUUGUUUCAUAAAGUAAUUCAAGUGGAUUACAAGAAUAGAUACAAUGAAAUAGGAAAAUCUAAAAAAAAAAACAAAGCUGUGAUUAUGGAAAAUCAAGUAUAAUGGCUGAGUGAAAGGGGCAAGUGGAAUUGCAGUCAUAACAUGUAGGCUAUAAGAACUUCUAAAGGGUUACUAAACAUGAACAAUAAAUUUGACUGUGAGGUUCCUGGUAGCCAAAGCAAAACUGCAAACCAAGUUAGUGACAGAACCAGCAUCAAAAUUAAGCGUCAGUCCAUUUUGCUUUUUGCUCCAUUAAAACAUUUGUUUUAAUUGAGUCUACUUUUAUGGUCUUAAAAUAUUUUUGGGUGUAAUGUUCUUUUUCUUUCUCUCCAUUUAUUCCGUCUGUGGAAAUGGCCUGUGUGAGGGGACUCAGAGCUACUCCCUGUACCCAGCUCCCUGGGGAACGUCUACUUUCUGCGAGAAAAAUGAGGCACAAAAAGCUGGAGUGCUUUGCCCUAGGUUACAAGAAGAGUAAUUGAGUGAGCUGGGAUUUGAACCCAGUUCUGUCUAGCUCCAAAGUCCAUUUUUUUUUUUUUUUUUUUUUUGCACGAUCUCUCCACUCAGCAUUGCCUCUUGGUGAGUUGGUGACAGAGGUUGGAUUGAAUUCAGUUCUCUGGUCUCUGAGUCUACUGCUCUUCCCACUAUACUUUAGCUCUGAUCAGAGAAGACCAUCUCAGGCCACAAUUCCUCUUGGGCUGGAGAGGAGUGCAGGUCCAGUCUUGGAUUUGGAAAGGUUCACACUGAACUUGACCAUUACUGUCUGUCCUGCUUUUUGGGGAUUUUUUUUUUUUGCUUGGCCAUUGGCAUCUGGAUCUGUAGAUAUUUCUAGAUUUCAAAUGGAUUCUUUGGUCGACCUUCAACACGUAGGUUAAAUCCAUGGUUCUCAGCCAUGCUAUUAAGAUGCACUGGUGUGGGGCAAUGAGUUGUGAGGUGCCAGUAAUUAAUAAUAGUUAAAGUAAUCUGGAUUGGUGCACCUGGGAAUUUCAGAAUUGACAGCUGGGACUUCUUUGCCUCUACCAGAGCCUCAGUGAAGGGAAUGGGGCAUGCAGUGCAUUCUAUUUGUAGCUAAAUGGCCUCAAUCUUAUCUCUGCCCCAAGCAGUAAACUCCAGUGAGAAUUUCCUGCCACACUAUGUGUAGACCUCUGUACUUUUUAAUCUUAUUUUACAAAAGGCGGAGUAUCUGAUGUCAAAGACCUUAAUGACUAAUAGGGAAGAGGGGUGCAGCCUAUGCUAAAAGAACAAAAUACCCAGACACACAACCAUAUCAGUGACUACCAACGAAGCUGGUAACUUGAAACUUUGUGGACGCUUAUGUCAUACAGAUAAGGAUAAUCACUCAUGGUCCAGUCCAGCACAGAGUCCCAUUUAAUACAUAAUAGACCAGUAAAUAAUAAUUAUAAGCAGAUCAAAGCAUUCUUGCUGUCUCUCCUAAAAAAUAAAAAACAUUAUUCUAGAAACUAUUAUUAGAAAGGCCCAAUUACCCCCCAAAACUUAUAUAGGAUGCAGUAGUCCCCUUUCAUCUGUGGGGGAUACUUUCCAAGACCCCACACCAAGGAUAGUACCGAGCCCUCCGUACACUGUUUUUUUUCCUAUACAUCUAAUGUCAAAGACCUUAAUGACUAAUGGAGGGAGGAGCGCAUUGUAUGCUAAAAGAACAAAACAUACAGACGAAAUGCCAUGGCAGAACUUCUUAACGUUCUAACGCAUACCUCUGAUAAAGUUUAAUGUAUAAAUUAGGCACAGUAAGUGAUUAACAACAAUAAUAAUAACGUAGAACAAUUAUAACAAUAUACCAGCAUCACUAUUCUUUUGCUUUGGGCCCAUUGUUAAGUAAAAUAAGGGUUCCUUGAACACCAGCACUGCGAUACCAUGACAGUUGAUCUGAUAAUGGAUCUGGCUGCUAACUGACUAAUGGGAGCGUCUACAGUGUGCAGACGCUGGACAAAGGGAGGAUUCACAUCCCGGGCGGGACUGAGUGGGAUGGACGAGAUUUCAUCACGCUAUUCAGAAUGGUGUGCAAUUGAAAACUUAUGAAUUGUUUAUUUCUGAAAAUUUUCAUUUAGUAUUUUCAGACCAGGAUUGACCAUGGGCAACUGAAAUCUUGGAAAGCAAAACUGCAGAUAAGGGGGGGCUACCGUAUUCUGAAACAAAAAGCCCAUGGUUUGGCAUUUUCUCCCUGGGAUUGAUAAUAGAGCUCAUUGACUGUGGGGGUGGAGUGAAUGUGUGUAUGUGUGUGAGGAAGACAUAGUUCCUUGCAGAUUUUAAUGAAAGAAUGGAGAGGAGUUCCCAAGAUUAAUAAAGAAUGGUUCCAGACUGGGCAUAACUCAGGCCUGUAAUUCCAGCACUUUGGAAGGCUCAAGUGGGAGGAUCACUCGAGGAGCUUGAGACUAGCCUGGUCAACAUAAUGAGACCCCAUCUUUACAAAAAAAAUUUAAAUCAAAAAAUGGAAGAAUGAUUUCAGGAUGGGUGUAAUGGCUCAGGCCUGUAACCCCAGCAUUUUGGGAGGCCGAGGUGGGAUGAUUGCUUGAGUUCAGGAGUUUGAGACCAGCCUGGGCAACAUAGCAAGACUCUGUCUUUACAAAAAUUAAGAAUUUAGCCAGGUGUGGUGUCAUGUGCCUGUAGUCCCAGCUACUUGGGAGGCUGAGGUGGGAGGAUGGCUUGAGCCCAGGAGGUUGAGGCUGCAGUGAGCUAUGAUCACACCACUGUACUAAAGCCUGGGUGACAGAGCAAGAUCCUGUUUAAAAAAAAAAAAAAAAAAGAAUGAUUCCAGAGAGGCAGGAGCAGAGAAGAGAGGAAGCACAGCAAUAGUUUUUAAAGGGCUAAAACCCAAAAUAUUUGUCUUUAUGUUGAAGCUGAAAUGUACAAUGUAUCAAAAUUAAGGAUUUUGAUAAACCUGAAAUAGUUGGGUUAUGUUUUAAAAAUUGUACUGAAUUAUCAAAUUCCUGUCUUUUCAUUUAUACAACUUGCUAAUUGAGGUCCUUAUUAAACCAAUUGCAAUUGUCUUUACUAA